rnacentral:rRNA from 1 species
AUGAACGCUGGCGGCGUGCCUAAUACAUGCAAGUCGAGCGAACAGAUGAGGAGCUUGCUCCUCUGACGUUAGCGGCGGACGGGUGAGUAACACGUGGAUAACCUACCUAUAAGACUGGGAUAACUUCGGGAAACCGGAGCUAAUACCGGAUAAUAUAUUGAACCGCAUGGUUCAAUAGUGAAAGACGGUUUUGCUGUCACUUAUAGAUGGAUCCGCGCCGCAUUAGCUAGUUGGUAAGGUAACGGCUUACCAAGGCGACGAUUCGUAGCCGACCUGAGAGGGUGAUCGGCCACACUGGAACUGAGACACGGUCCAGACUCCUACGGGAGGCAGCAGUAGGGAAUCUUCCGCAAUGGGCGAAAGCCUGACGGAGCAACGCCGCGUGAGUGAUGAAGGUCUUCGGAUCGUAAAACUCUGUUAUUAGGGAAGAACAAAUGUGUAAGUAACUAUGCACGUCUUGACGGUACCUAAUCAGAAAGCCACGGCUAACUACGUG